AUAUAAUUUUUAGAAUUUCUCUUUACUCGGGUUUCCAUAUGUACAGUGUUAAGAUAAAUGUAAAAUUUAGGAGGCACCAAUGUUACACUAAGAAGUCCAUUCACUAAACAAGGAGUCAUGGAGAUUUAGGAACUGACUUGUAACUUUUGCAGAAUUAUUCACAAAAGUGAGAAUUUAAGGUAAAUCCAAAAAUUCAAGGUACACACAGCCGAACUAGA